AUAUUCCUGCGCCACUUCACGGUGAUGUGAUGGUGGGACAGGGCUCUUAAGGUGUACCCACUGUUGGAAUAGUGGGAUCAAGCCCGAGGGUGGGUCGUAGGGAAAUCCGCGACCGUAAUCCCGGAGGUGAUGACGAGGCCAUUUGUGCUGAAGUCACUGUCGGAGCUCUCAAGAAAAUCUUCUAAGCGUUUGAGCCGUGGGGUGUCCGUACUAAAAACUGACACAGGUGGGCGAGGAGAGUAUCCUAAGGCGCUCGAGAGAACCUUCGUUAAGGAACUCGGCAAAUUUGCCCCGUAACUUCGGGAUAAGGGGUGCUCAAUCUGGUGAAGAGCUUCGCGCUCGGAGCUUGAAUGAGUCACAGUAAAUCGGCCCAUGGAACUGUUUAUCAAAAACACAGCUCUGUGCUAAGGCUUAAAGCCUAUGUAUACAGUGCGACGCUUGCCCGCUGUCGGUAGGUUAAGGGGAAGGGUCAAAGGACUUCGGUCCUUGAAGCUCAUAACCGAAGCCCCGAUGAAGGGCGGCCGUAACUAUGACGGUCCUAAGGUAGCGAAAUUCCUUGUCGGGUAAGUUCCGACCCGCAUGAAUAGCGUAAUAACAUGGGCUCUGUCUCAACGAAGGACUCGGCGAAACUUAACUCGAGGUGAAGAUGCCUCGUCCCCGCGGGUAGGCGGAAAGACCCUAUGAACCUUUACUGUAGCAUACUAUUGGGUUUAGAUAUAUUCUGUGUAGAAUAGGUGGGAGGCUUCGAAGCCCGGGCGCCAGCUCGGGCAGAGCCGUAAGUGAAAUACCACUCUCUGUAUAUUUGGACUCUAACCGGGUGCCAUGAAUCUGGGCCUGGAACAGUGGUAUGUGGGCAGUUUGACUGGGGCGGUCUCCUCCUAAAGAGUAACGGAGGAGCGCAAAGGUACCCUCAGCACGGUUGGCAAUCGUGCGAAGAGCGCAAAGGUAGAAGGGUGCUUGACUGCGAGUCAUACAAGACGAGCAGAUGCGAAAGCAGGCCUUAGUGAUCCGGUGGUUGCGUGUGGAAGCGCCAUCGCUCAACGGAUAAAAGGUACUCUAGGGAUAACAGGCUUAUCUCCCCCAAGAGUCCAUAUCGACGGGGAGGUUUGGCACCUCGAUGUCGGCCCGUCGCAUCCUGGGGCUGUAGCAGGUCCCAAGGGUUUGGCUGUUCGCCAAUUAAAGCGGCACGCGAGCUGGGUUCAGACCGACGUGAGUCAGGUCGGUCCCUACCUUCUGUGGGUGUAGGAGAUUUGUGGGAUUCUUUCCCUAGUACGAGAGGAUUGGGAAGGACAGACCUCUGGUGUUCCUGUUGUCACGCCAGUGGCAGCGCAGGGUAGCUACGUCUGGUUAAGAUAAGCGCUGAAGGCAUAUAAGCGCGAAGCUAUUCCCGAAACUAGAUCUCCCUGGACUUCGGUCCCUAAAGGGUCGUGGAAGACUACCACGUUGAUAGGCCGGGUGUGUAAGCGCAGCGAUGCGUUGAGCUGACCGGUACUAAUCGCCCUUGAGGCUUAGGCAC
rnacentral:rRNA from 1 species